rnacentral:rRNA from 1 species
GAGUUUGAUCGUAGCUCAGAUUGAACGCUGGCGGCAUGCCUUACACAUGCAAGUCGAACGGCAGCACGGGAGCUUGCUCCUGGUGGCGAGUGGCGAACGGGUGAGUAAUGCAUCGGAACGUAUCCUGGAGUGGGGGAUAACGUAGCGAAAGUUACGCUAAUACCGCAUAUUCUGUGAGCAGGAAAGCGGGGGACCUUCGGGCCUCGCGCUCUUGGAGCGGCCGAUGUCGGAUUAGCUAGUUGGUGAGGUAAAGGCUCACCAAGGCGACGAUCCGUAGCAGGUCUGAGAGGAUGAUCUGCACACUGGAACUGAGACACGGUCCAGACUCCUACGGGAGGCAGCAGUGGGAAUUUUGGACAAUGGGGGCAACCCUGAUCCAGCCAUGCCGCGUGAGUGAAGAAGGCC